rnacentral:rRNA from 1 species
AGAGUUUGAUCCUGGCUCAGAUUGAACGCUGGCGGCAUGCCUUACACAUGCAAGUCGAACGGCAGCACGGGAGCAAUCCUGGUGGCGAGUGGCGAACGGGUGAGUAAUACAUCGGAACGUGUCCUGGAGUGGGGGAUAGCCCGGCGAAAGCCGGAUUAAUACCGCAUACGCUCUGAGGAGGAAAGGGGGGGCUCGCAAGACCUCCCGCUCAAGGGGCGGCCGAUGGCAGAUUAGCUAGUUGGUGGGGUAAAGGCCUACCAAGGCGACGAUCUGUAGCUGGUCUGAGAGGACGACCAGCCACACUGGGACUGAGACACGGCCCAGACUCCUACGGGAGGCAGCAGUGGGGAAUUUUGGACAAUGGGCGCAAGCCUGAUCCAGCAAUGCCGCGUGUGUGAAGAAGGCCUUCGGGUUGUAAAGCACUUUUGUCCGGAAAGAAAACUUCCUGGUUAAUACCCGGGGAGGAUGACGGUACCGGAAGAAUAAGCACCGGCUAACUACGUGCCAGCAGCCGCGGUAAUACGUAGGGUGCAAGCGUUAAUCGGAAUUACUGGGCGUAAAGCGUGCGCAGGCGGUUCGUUAAGACAGAUGUGAAAUCCCCCGGGCUUAACCUGGGAACUGCAUUUGUGACUGGCGGACUGGAGUAUGGCAGAGGGGGGUAGAAUUCCACGUGUAGCAGUGAAAUGCGUAGAGAUGUGGAGGAAUACCGAUGGCGAAGGCAGCCCCCUGGGCCAAUACUGACGCUCAUGCACGAAAGCGUGGGGACAAACAGGAUUAGAUACCCUAGUAGUCC